rnacentral:rRNA from 1 species
UACAGAGGUCUCAAGCGUUGUUCGGAUUCAUUGGGCGUAAAGGGUGCGUAGGCGGCGCGGUAAGUCGGGUGUGAAAUCUCGGAGCUUAACUCCGAAACUGCAUUCGAUACUGGCGAUCUCGAGUUCGGGAGAGGUGAGUGGAACUGCGAGUGUAGAGGUGAAAUUCGUAGAUAUUCGCAAGAACACCAGUGGCGAAGGCGGCUCACUGGCCCGAUACUGACGCUGAGGUGCGAAAGCGUGGGGAGCAAACAGG